rnacentral:rRNA from 1 species
AGUGAACGCUGGCGGUAGGCCUAACACAUGCAAGUCGAACGGCAGCACAGUAAGAGCUUGCUCUUACGGGUGGCGAGUGGCGGACGGGUGAGGAGUACAUCGGAAUCUACUUUUUCGUGGGGGAUAACGUAGGGAAACUUACGCUCAUACCGCAUACGACCUACGGGUGAAAGCAGGGGAUCUUCGGACCUUGCGCGAUUGAAUGAGCCGAUGUCGGAUUAGCUAGUUGGCGGGGUAAAGGCCCACCAAGGCGACGAUCCGUAGCUGGUCUGAGAGGAUGAUCAGCCACACUGGAACUGAGACACGGUCCAGACUCCUACGGGAGGCAGCAGUGGGGAAUAGUGGACAAUGGGCGCAAGCCUGAUCCAGCCAUAGCGCGUGGGUGAAGAAGGCCUUCGGGUUGUAAAGCCCUUUUGUUGGGAAAGAAAAGCAGCAGGUUAAUACCCCGCUGUUCUGACGGUACCCAAAGAAUAAGCACCGGCUAACUUCGUG